UGAGGAAUAUUGGUCAAUGGACGAGAGUCUGAACCAGCCAAGUCGCGUGAAGGAAGACGGCCCUACGGGUUGUAAACUUCUUUUGUAAGGGAAUAAAUAGUCUUACGCGCUAAGACGUUGCAGGUACCUU
rnacentral:rRNA from 1 species